AUCUUCCGUCAUUUCUGAUAAAAUAUUGUGGCAAUUUUUAGACGCAAUAAAUUGUCAGUUUACGAUUCCUUCUUAGUGGAGAAAUUUUUUUUUCCGUGUGAAGAAAUGUUUGAGUGGGGUUAGUUUCGUUUUCUAUAAACUGUUAUAAUUGAUUUUAAGUCUUAAGUUCUUAAAACCAAAAAACCACAAGAAAUUUGUAUUUUGAUUUACCAUUCAGAAUAGUAAAAGUGAUCUAUAAUAUGCAAAAAUAAACUUGGAAACAUAGAAGAUAGCGGCGGUUAUACCACUUUAAUGAGAGAAAAGAUACUGAGAGAAAUUACGAAUCGAAGACUACUUAUUACUCCAGUGAAAAUCGGUCAACUAUAACAUAGCUAUAUAUACCAUCUUGCAUUCAUGGUCAACCAUUUAAAUACCAAGAACAAAAACAUAUAUUUUUUGAAAUAAAAAGUUGUGCAAGAAUAGACUACUUAAGACAAAUAAGGCAACCAAUAGCAUUGCGGUAGACCACGAUUCUACGACAGUGAAGUUAAUCUCACAAGACUACUUAACCGGAUCGUACUCAAAUUCUAUUCCUUCUAGGAACUGUUAACUGAACAACUGUUAUGUAAUGAACAACAAUAAAUUCGAGUUUUUCUGGGUCUUUAUUAAAAUUAUUCCUCUAACGCAUUCUAUCGUGAAACUCCACUUUUUUUAUAUAUUAUAUAUUUAAUAAAAUAAAAAUAAAACAAAAAUAUGCGUGCUAAUAAAAUUUGGUUUCGCAGUUGACUUAUUUGAUGGGUUUAAUAAUAAAUUCGGAGUUUGUGGGACCCUAAAUCUUAAACCCAAAUUUAAUAUUAUCG